UCACCCUCUGUUGAUAUGGCUCUGAUGAGUGGAGGAACACCAGGGCUCUUGUCUCACUUCGCAUUAGUGCUGCUUUCUCAGAUACAGGCAUAACCUGGAGAUAUUGCGGGCCCAGUUCCAGUUCAUCAUAAUAAAGGGAAUAUCUUGGUAAAGAAGUCACGGACCCUGAGCGGAAGGACCAGCUGGAGCCAAGGCAGAAGAACAUAAAUUGUGAAGAUUUCAUGGACAUUUAUC